rnacentral:lncRNA from 1 species
GGUGCAGAAAGAAAGACUGAUAACAAUUAUAUCAUAAUUAUAACAUUCACAACUAUAACAAACUUUGUACAUCAACAUUUUCAGAAGUUCUUGCCAAUCAAUUACUAAGACACCAACAACACAAAUAAUAAAUACAACUCAAAUGAAUAGGAUGGACAGAGAAUAAUCUUCCUAAUUUUACAGCAUUGAAUAAAACACUGUAUACUUUCUAUAAACACUCAUGGCAGCCAAACUGAAAAACCAAUGACAAAAACAACACAGCAAACUGUAUCAUCACACUAUAAAUCAGAAUACGAGAUUUUUCUUCUUUUGUUUUCCCUUCCAAAUUAUUAAACUUUAACCUCACCUUUAGGUUCAGAAGAAGGCACUUUAACCUCGCCUUUAGGUUCAGAAGAAGGCGUUUUCGAGUUGGUAGAUUUUCCAAUGAUAGCUUUCUUUGCCUUCACAAGUGUGUGCUUCACCUUGGACAAAAUGGUAUUUGA